rnacentral:rRNA from 1 species
GGGUCAGUAGGUUGGUCGUGCCACCGGUACGUACUGGUCUCACUGAUUCCUCCUUCCUGAAGAACCGUAAGGCCAUUAAUUUGGUGUUGCGGGGAAACAGGACUGUUACUUUGAAAAAAUUAGAGUGUUUAAAGCAAGCUAACGCUUGAAUACAUUAGCAAGGAAUAAUGAAAUAGGACGAUCGAUCCUAUUUUGUUGGUUUCUAGGAUUGACGUA